rnacentral:rRNA from 1 species
CCCUUAGAUGUUCUGGGCCGCACGCGCGCUACACUGAUGCAUUCAACGAGUCUAAAACCUGCUCUGAUAGGGGUGGGUAAUCUUUUGAAUGUGCAUCGUGAUUGGGGUAGAUGAUUGCAAUUUUUCAUCUUCAACGAGGAAUGCCUAGUAAACGCAAGUCAUCAGCUUGCAUUGAUUACGUCCCUGCCCUUUGUACACACCGCCCGUCGCUCCUACCGAUUGAAUGAUCCGAUGAAUAUCAUGGAUUGAGGAUGCAAGUAGGUUCGCCUAUCUUCAUCUUCGAGAAGUGAAGUAAAUCUUAUCAUUUAGAGGAAGGAGAAGUCGUAACA